ensembl:snRNA U6 U6 spliceosomal RNA
GUUCUCACUUUGGCAGCACAUAUACUAAAACUGGAACGAUACAGAGAAGAUUAGCAUGGCCCAUGUGCAAGGAUGACACACAAAACCUUAAAAAAAAACAUAAAUUU